CAUGCAAGUCGUACGAGAAAUCCUGAGCAAUCGGGAGAGUAAAGUGGCGUACGGGUGAGUAACGCGUGGGUAACCUACCCUUGAGUUAGGGAUAACUCCGCGAAAGCGGGGCUAAUACCAAAUAAUGUCUCAUUCCCUUCGGAGGGUGAGAUCAAAGGUGGCCUCUGCAUGCAAGCUACUUCUUAAGGAUGGGCCCGCGUACCAUUAGCUGGUUGGUAGGGUAACGGCCUACCAAGGCAACGAUGGUUAGCUGGUCUGAGAGGAUGGCCAGCCACACUGGAACUGAGACACGGUCCAGACUCCUACGGGAGGCAGCAGUGGGGAAUCUUGCGCAAUGGGGGAAACCUUGACGCAGCAACGCCGCGUGGGUGAUGAAGGCCUUCGGGUCGUAAAGUUCUUUUCAGGGGGACGAGAGAGGACGG
rnacentral:rRNA from 1 species